GUAUCAUGGCUCAGGAUGAACGCUAGCGGCAGGCUUAACACAUGCAAGUCGAGGGGCGAGCAUAAUGGAUAGCAAUAUCUAUGGUGGCGACCGGCGCACGGGUGCGUAACGCGUAUGCAACCUACCUUUAACAGGGGGAUAACACUGAGAAAUUGGUACUAAUACCCCAUAACAUCAUGAGAGGCAUCUUUUAUGGUUGAAAAUUCCGAUGGUUAGAGAUGGGUCUAUGCGUUG
rnacentral:rRNA from 1 species